AGCUAGCUAUGCUUGAAGAUAGACAAAUGCUCUGCACAGAGUGUGAUGUCCUCCCACCAGGAAGCUGGGGCAAAAAGAUAAUGAGCUCAAGGCCAACCCAUACUACAUAGGGAGCUCAAGCCAAAAACAAAGUCAAUACAGAUAAAAAGCCCCCAUGAACAGUGCAUGUGAGCAGAGAGCAGACGUGUGCACAUACAGACCUGCUACAGGAGGCUAUCGACAAACGCCCCUCCAAAAAGUGCUAGCGUGGUCCUGAAUGGCUGCAGCCCCAGCACUGCUGAAGCACAGAGAGGGCACGUCUACAGUCUGAGGUGAGUCUGGACUACAUUUAAGCACUGCUGCAACUGAAUGUGACAGCCGAUCAAAUGCACAGUUCACAACCCUAAGCAAAACUGAACAUUAAGGCAAAUUAUUUUCAAAAAUAAUUUAGGCCGUUUUCAAUAUAAACUAUUCCCGAAAUACAAACAUUACUCAAGCUUAAUGGAAAUAGCACAAAAGCAUUCACUAAUUAUGAAAAAUUACUGCAAAUAAUAAAAAGUUUUUUAAGUACAAUACCUUGGUUAAUGCAGCAGUAUGAUCUUCUCCGCAACAAAUAUAAACUAUUUUCUGAGAUCUUAGUGACUUUAGUAAAUUAGGAACAUACCUAUCUGAAAAUUCCAAUAAAAGACGUUAAUGAUAUUUUAACUAAAAAUGUGUUCCUUUAUAGAUUUCCAAAUUCAGUAGCUGUAAUAAUAAUUUUUACUAUCAAUCAAAGACUUCCUAAGAAAAAAGGCCUAUAAAACUGGGUUUCCAGGUCUUAUGAUAAAGUAAGGACUCAAAGAUGAGCAUUCGAUUGCCCUACUACCAAUGUACACAGGGUUCAACAAUACAGGACUUUGGUGUUUUCAGAUUUUCUACAUGUGUAUAAUUCUUUAUUCUGUAAUGGCCAUGUUCAGAGAUUCUACUCAAUAGCCUGAUCUACUUUCUGCACUUUGUGGCAAAACAAUAAUAGCAUAACAUGAGUAUAUUUUUAUGCAGAAUAAAAACCAUUAUCUAAUUCUAUGAGAGAAUUAUUUACGUAUCAUUAUUAUUAGGUAAAAACACACUUUGGCCAUCUCAGGCAUUACAAGUAUACUGACUGUUACAACCUAUGACUUAUAUGCCAAAUAUUCGCAUUCAAAAACUGGUAAGUAUGAAAUGUCAGAAAAAAGAUUGUGACUUGUUUCAAAUAGUUGUUUAAAAUUAAAAUGUUUAUUUUCAAGACAAUAAUCAGUGUAAAAAGAAGCUCAAUCAAAAAAUAAUCUAACAACCCAGAUCAUAUAAAUCCAACUUGAAACAAUAAUAUCAACUAAAUAUGUCAUGUUACUUUCCCAGAGCAAAAAUUUUUCAGUACCAGGCUAAGCUACUGCACAUAUGUUCUAAAAGGAAACUUUAGACGUAGCUUCUUGGCUAAUUAAUUGUAUAGCUUCUUUCCAUUAAUGGUGGCCAAUCCUGGAGCAACACUGGUUACCAACUUAACUCAGUAUUUAUACACUGUCUCUUAAUGGCAUCCAACAAUGAAGACAUAAACAGCACAGCCUUGCUUUUCUUUCAGUGCUGGGGAUUAACCCCACAGUCCCGUGUAGUAGGCAAGCAGUCUACCAUGGACCUACAUAUAAUAGCAGUACAAGUGAUCUCAAGAAUAUUUUCCUUCUUUUUUUUGUGGGGAAAAGGUGCUGGGGAUUAAACCCAGGGCCUUGUGCGUACUAGGCGUGAGCUUUUCCACUGAGCGAUAUCUCCAGGUCCCAACAAACUUUCCAAUUUAUUACAUGCUAAUUUUCAGCCUUCCCAGGAUCCUCCCAAACACAUUAAAAUGUUAAACUAACAUCCUCAGGUCCACCACUAUUAGUCCUGGGAAUGUUUGGGUAUACAUUUCUCCAAUGCUCUAAGAAUCACUCAUUUAUCUCAGAAGAUCAUCUUUUAAAAAUAUGCUUAACUAUAAAGCACACCUACCAUUUUCAUCAUUAAGACCUAGCUGACCAAAUUUGUUACGUCCCCAUCCAAAGAUAGCUCCGGAAAGGGUGAGUACAAAACUAUGGGCUCCUCCUGCUGCGACUUGCAUGAAUGGUAUUCCAAGCAAAGACUUAAUCAGCUGUGGUGAAGUUUGCUUUUGACAAUCAAUGCCUAGACCCAGCUGGCCAUAUUUAUUCUGUCCCCAACAGAAAACUUCACUUGCUGUAAGACAAAAAUCAUAAAAUUAUUUUACACACACACAGUAUCAUUUGAAGAUCAACUACCCUUUUGAGACAUUCUCUCAUUAGAUGAAAAUACAUACUUACUGAACGAAGAAGUUUGGUUUUUUUAUAUGAAAACAUACUACUACUUAGAGACUAUGUCUUAUGAAACUGGUUAAGUUUCAGCAACACACUGGUAACCAGUCAUACAAGCUAGGAAUACACUCAUUUCCUUAUGCCCUACAACAGAGGACUCUCUAACAUUCUUCAUCUCUCUUACUCUCUAAGCUUUCCCCAAGAGGUACUCUUCUAAUCUCAAGGCUUCAGCUAUCAGCAUAUGCAAAUCUAAACUAAGAAACACCCUGCAACCCACUACUUAUCUGACACCUACACAAGGAUGUUCCAGAGCCACUUCUAACUCACUGUGCCCAGACUGAAUAUGGCUUCCACCCCAUUGCCAAUCCUCAGGGCUCUCCUCCCCGCGUUGCCCUUCACCAGCAGAGGUCAGAUACCCGGGAUGUCGUUCCUUCUCAGACAUCAACAACUCCAAAUCUACGAAGGAUUACUAUGUUACAGGUUUGGGUUUGUUUGUUUGUUUGUUUGUUUUUCUCUUUCUGGUAAAUAGAUCUGUUUUAGCAUCCUU